rnacentral:rRNA from 1 species
UACAGAGGUGCCAAGCGUUAGGCGGAAUCACUGGGCUUAAAGCGCGCGUAGGCGGAUGUUUAAGUGUCUUGUGAAAUCCCACGGCUCAACCGUGGAACUGCUGGGCAUACCGGACAUCUCGAGGCACUCAGGGGCGAGCGGAACAAGUGGUGGAGCGGUGAAAUGCGUAGAUAUCACUUGGAACGCCAAUGGUGAAGGCAGCUCGCUGGGGGUGUCCUGACGCUGAGGCGCGAAAGCCAGGGGAGCGAACGGG